UACAUGGGGUGCAAACGUUGCUCGGAAUUAUUGGGCGUAAAGCGCACGUAGGUGGUCUGUUAUGUCAGAUGUGAAAGCCCUCGGCUUAACUGAGGAAGUGCACCUGAAACUGGCAGGCUUGAGUACGAAAGAGGGUCGCGGAAUUCCCGGUGUAGAGGUGAAAUUCGUAGAUAUCGGGAGGAACACCGAUGGCGAAGGCAGGUCACUGGGCCGCAACUGACGCUGAGGAGCGAAAGCAUGGGGAGCGAACAGG
rnacentral:rRNA from 1 species